rnacentral:misc_RNA from 1 species
GCGGCAUAUCAUUCAGAGGUUUCUCUUGAUGAUCCGAGUCUUCUGCACAGACUUGUCUCUGAAGGCAAUGUGAAUGGCGUUCGAGACUUGCUAGCGAAGACUGUUUCAGGAAAAAGUAUUACCUCUUUACGCUCCGUGCUGGAGGCACAAAAUGCUGAUGGGCAAACUGCUCUCCACCUUGCUUGUAGACGUGGAAGUGUGGAACUUGUUGAGGUCAUUUUGGAAUGCUCGCAGGCAAAUGUGGAUGUCCUAGACAAAGAUGGUGAUCCACCCCUUGUGUUUGCUCUUGCGGCUGGAUCGCCUGAAUGUGUUCGUGCUCUUAUCAGGAGGCAUGCCAAUGUCAGGUCUAGACUUAGAGAGGGCCUUGGUCCAUCCGUUGCUCAUGUUUGUGCAUACCAUGGCCAACCAGAUUGCAUGCGUGAAUUAUUAUUGGCUGGG